rnacentral:rRNA from 1 species
AUGCAGAGCCUCUUGGUGGAUGUUAAUCGAAUUUGCAAUCUUGCCACCAAGAAUACCUUUGUCACACAUGAAACCUGUCGGCGGUCGUGGAAGAGUCUGACAUUGCUCAGUUCUGAAGAUGAUCUUCAACAAGAUGGCUUCACCGAGAGAUUCAAAUUUGAUUCCACUCCUCCGAGGAACGUUGUCUUGUGUUGGACUCCCUCCCUCGAAGACUCUGAGUACUCCUCCUCAGCGGCAACUGUCGAUGCCAGAGUCGUCGAUGACGAAGAUGAUGCUACUUCACCAACUACAACUUCACCUCGAAUCGACACUGCACCAUGUUCUUCUGCACCAUCGGACUACAACAUCGACCCUGCACCUUCUCCUCCUCAUGGGAACGAGUAG